CACAGCUCUGCAUAAUCUGGUACUUCAAUCCUCAGUGCCUUCCUUCCCAAUGAUGAGAAGACAGAAAAAGUGCAAAACUGCGGCUCUACUUCUCCAUCAAGAUUUGCCCCAGAUAAAUGAUCAACAGACUUCUGUGGAAGAUUCUCAAAGAUACUCUGUUAAAAUUAGUAUAUCAGUAAGGAGUUCCAUAAAGAUUUGCUAAUCCUGGUCUAUGAAGACACCUGAUUUUUCUAUCUUAACAGCAAUUAGAGCCAGGCAUGGUGGCAUACACCCAUAAUCACACCAUCAGGAGGCCGAGAAAGAAGGAUCAGUGUGAGUUCGAGGCCAGCCCGAACUACAAACGUAGCGAGACCUUGUCUCAAAAAAAGGAAAAACGCAAUUAGAUUUAAUAAUGGGAAGCACAUACUGAAAACCAGAACAUUUCAAGGAGAACCUGAUGUCAAGCCCAUUUUGUUUCUCCACGUGGGUGCUGACUCUGUAAAGCAAGCAUGGAAAGCCACAGGAGAGAUUUAUACACAACAUACUGUCUGAUGUGCAUUAUUUGAAUCUGGCUUUAGAAUGCCUAACUCUACUUUACAUUCCCCAACAAGGAUAACUUUAUUUAAAAAUGCAGAUUUAAAUGAAGUAUUUUCAAACUGUAA